rnacentral:misc_RNA from 1 species
AACAUCGCGCACCUGCGGGAACCUGCGGAGGGAUCAUUACCGAGUUUACAACUCCCAAACCCCUGUGAACAUACCUAUACGUUGCCUCGGCGGAUCAGCCCGCGCCCCGUAAAACGGGACGGCCCGCCCGAGGACCCCUAAACUCUGUUUUUAGUGGAACUUCUGAGUAAAACAAACAAAUAAAUCAAAACUUUUAGCAAUGGAUCU